CCUACGGGAGGCAGCAGUGAGGAAUAUUGGUCAAUGGUCGAGAGUCUGAACCAGCCAAGUCGCGUGAGGGAUGAAGGUCCUAUGGAUCGUAAACCUCUUUUAUAAGGGAAUAAAGUGUGGGACGUGUCGGGUUUUGUAUGUACCUUAUGAAUAAGGAUCGGCUAACUCCGUGCCAGCAGCCGCGGUAAUACGGAGGAUCCGAGCGUUAUCCGGAUUUAUUGGGUUUAAAGGGUGCGUAGGCGGCUUUUUAAGUCAGCGGUGAAAGUCUGCGGCUCAACCAUAGAAUUGCAGUUGAAACUGGUAGUCUUGAGUAUGUUAGAGGCGGGCGGAAUGCGUGGUGUAGCGGUGAAAUGCUUAGAUAUCACGCAGAACCCCGAUUGCGAAGGCAGCUCGCUGGAC
rnacentral:rRNA from 1 species